GCCUUCUUAGCUCAGUGGUAGAGCGUUGCACUUGUAUUUUGGUCAACUAGCGCAUCCUACAAUGCAAAGGUCAGUCGUUCAAUCCGGCUAGGAGGCA